rnacentral:piRNA from 2 species
AACCACUGGAGAAUCUUCUCAAUCUUUGGAAU